rnacentral:lncRNA from 11 species
GGAGAUAGUUCUUUAGCAGCAAUAACAUCGUACUUUAGGGCUUGUGCCUUGGCUUCUGGCUGUUACCCCUGGGUUAGAUCUCUAGAGCUUAACCUUGGCCCUGCAAUCCUGCUUUGGUCUCUGCCUGUUCCUAUAAGCUUGUCUUGAAUCUGGUAUAUCCUGAAACCUUGAAUCUAAACUCUGGACUGGCUUCCUGGAUUGAUAGAUGGACUUGAAUUUUGAUUUGUUCCUUUGGCCUUUAGUCUUCAGUUUGACCUUGAUUAUCCGGCUUGACCCUAGAACUCUGAUUAUGUUUCUUCUGAGGCCAAUGUCCCAUGUCCACCUCUCCCUUACUGGUCUCCUGGCCACUGCCUUCUUUUUGCAAGACAAAGCAGUAUCAAGCUGCCCAAAUGGCUGGAUGUCAUACCAAAGACACUGCUAUGGACUCUUCACAAC